rfam:Candidatus Buchananbacteria bacterium RIFCSPHIGHO2_01_FTLL_39_14 rifcsphigho2_01_scaffold_1149, whole genome shotgun sequence.
GCGGACGUGGCGGAACUUGGUAUACGCGCAUGCUUGAGGUGCAUGUGGGGCAACCCUUGGAGGUUCGAGUCCUCUCGUCCGCA